GUCUUUUUGAAAUAAUUUAAAGUCUAAUCUGCCCACUGAUAAAAAUUAAAGGGCUGCAGUAUAAUGACUGUACAAAGGUAGCAUAAUCAAUAGUUUUUUAAUUGGAAACUUGUAUGAAAGAUUUGAUGAAAUAUAAACUGUCUCUAUUUUAUAAAUUGAAUUUUAUUUUUUAGUAAAAAAGCUAAAAUAAAUUUAAAAGACGAGAAGACCCUAUAGAGUUUUAUAUUUAAUUUUAUUUGAAAAUUAUAUAAAAAUUACUAUUUAAAUAAAAUUAAUUAUUAUGUUGGGGUGACAGAAAAAUUAAAUUAACUUUUUUUAAAAAUUAAACAUAAAUAAAUGAUUAUAUGAUCCAUAAAUAAUGAUUAUAAGAAAAAAUUACCUUAGGGAUAACAGCGUAAUAUUUUUUUUUAGUUCAGAUAAAAAAGAAAGUUUGCGACCUCGAUGUUGGAUUAAGAUAAAAUUUAAAUGCAAAAGUUUAAAAUUUUUGAUCUGUUCGAUCAUUAAAAUCUUACA
rnacentral:rRNA from 1 species